UUUUCCCUUCCUCACAAAGCAAACGCACGGGCCAUGUUCUCCAGCUCCACACGCAACCACUCCUCCGCGUCGCCGCCGCCUCUGCCUCACCCCGACUCCUUCCGCAGCAAUGGCCUACCUCAUCUCCCCUCCGCCGAUGUGGUGCUAGCCACCACCACCGAGCCCUAGCAGCAAAGGGAGCGGUGGCUUAUUCCACGCGUGCAGCGGCGACCCCGGGAGGAGCUCAAGCCGCAGCGAUGGUCCACCGCGCCGGCGCCGUCGUCGACCGGCAGUGGAGGAGCAGCAGCGGCCAACGGCAGAUCGGCGUGUCAUGGGAGCAGACACGGCGGCCGUCACGGGCAGAGCAGAGCGAAGUUGGCAUGGCGGCUAGGCGGUUGUCCGGACUGGAUCCCGCCAUCACCACCAGCCACCGCCUCGUUUGUCCGUGUCCAUCUCGGCGAAACCAAGGGUCUGCCUCGUGUCCUGCGAGGUGACACUCCACCGCCACCGCUCUGCUGCUUCCGCCCUACGCUUCGCUCCCUCCGGUGCCAUCCUCACCUCCGACAAAAAGGACCUCUUGGACGUCAUUGCACAUGCUGGCCUCUUCCGACCCCGUGGCCACCGUGAUCAGGUAAUUGAUUUUGUGUUCCUGGGUUCGGGUAAGAAGCUAGUGACCUGCUCCAAGGACAAGGUUAUCUGGGUUUGGGACCUCGACACACAACACUGCCUUCAAAUUGUAAGGUGUCCAUCACAUCAAGAUAUGGUCGAUGGAUGUUGAUUCUAGCGAGAAGUUUUUGAUGUCUGUCUCGGCCGAUCAAGAGCUGUGGGUGUUCAAAAUCAGGCAAUCAGCUGAACAGGGUGAAGAUUGGAACAAAUGGGAUGCACUUCAGCAUUGAUCUAUUGUGAUUCCUUUUCCCCUUUAAUAACGUGUACGUAUAGGGUAGUCAAGCGCCACAGGAUAUCAUCCUUUGUUGUGGAUGAGAGUGGGAUGAUCAAUCGGAUUGCCGGGGUAGUACAACAUUGAGUCAUUGGCAGUUGGGCUCAACAAGGACAAGGCGUUGUUCACCAUAGGGGUAUUAGGAACAGAGAAAAUACUCACACAAGGCAUGGAGCAGCUACAAACUUGUUAAUGUUAUACACGUCAGCAUUUUCUUCUUCCAGUAUCCCGUGAAUAUUAAAAAUGUUUGCUAACUAAUAGUCAUCACAGUAUCUGAUAUUCGUAGUUUUAUAUAUCAAUUGACAGGUUGAUGAUUUGUCAAAGGAAUUUUAUUGCAAAUUCCUGUAGGCCUGAAAAUGCACACUAUCAUAACAGAGUAAUGUGCAAGUACACAAUGUCAUAGUAGAAAAAUAGAAUUUUGACUGAUUAUUUAACAUCACUGUGAGCUUUCCUUUAAAUCUGUGCCUUUUGAUUUACCCCUGCUAUUGUAUAAGUAUGUGUAGGUUGAUUUUGCUUAUUGUGUGUUUUAUACAGCGAGCAGCUUCCCUUGCGCCGUCAUCCAUCCACCAACAAGCCCAUGACCAUGCAUCAGAAAUAUUUGAUUUUUGGAGGAGAAAGGUCAUACAAGGAUGAGAAUGGGACACCAUAUUAUAGCGACGUGGUGAUUUUAUUCAGUUUAGUCAGAGGACAUACAUACGUACAAGUAGUUCCCUAAGGUGAAGGCCUUCCAUUUGCUAUUGCUGGCCAUGUAAAAUAGCAUGAACCUGAACCUAACUGCGAUUGGAUGUCUAAACUGAAUUGUUGCAUUCCUAGACAUGGGAAUGUGGAUCAGUUUUAGUUCUGAAGAAUCUGCAUACUUCUGGUCCUAUGUAAUUCCAAUUUAUUUAGACAAGCAUGCCAAAAGUGUUGAAACCCAAGUUAGGGUUCAAAUUUGUGGGGUUGUGCUUGCUGCUAAA